AAGAGGGCGUGGCCUGCGCCGGGAUAGGGCAGCGUUUAGGAGGUUAGCAUAAAACCGAAUGGAACGUCCGGUUUCUGACCCGACGCCUAGUGAACCGCAACCUUCAAAGACUUAAAGCCUCAAAGAGCACAUCCCGAUCUGCCUCGGGGAACUGCAGCCCCUCCAGGCUUGGGGUUGUGAGAAGUCCGUGAAAUAAUACAGUAUUCGUUAAACUUGGGGGAAAAAAAAUCAGGCCCACGACCAUCUUGGAAGUCUGAGCAGAAAGACUGUAAGAGCCAGAGGAAGAGGAGGAGAAGGAGGAAGGCUGGGGUCAUGUCCAUGUCUCAAGUCAGGACUCUUGACUUCGUAGCCGCCGGGGCUGCCUGUGCAGGAUCAACACAGUCACCGUGUCAUGAGCAUGGAGCCUGGAGUGGCUCACAAGCCCUCCCCAUCCCUGGCUACCGACAGUUGAUGGCUGCUGGGGGAAGGAGAACCAGGCUUUCCUGGAUGGAUCAACAGGAUGCAGCUGUAGAUAGGAUGACCAUGCUGCGGUGGGUAGCUAGUUCUACAUCCAUGCAAACCCAGGCAGCACCAACUGGAAUCAGCGAGUUGUAAAAGAACCCGAGGUUGGAAGGGAGAGGGUGGGCAGUAGAUCUAGAACGGAUGGGAAUGGAUACGUUUAAAAUGCACUGAAUGUUUAUAUGUUUAAUUCUCAGAGAAUUAAAAUAUGUUAAAAAAAUAAUAAAGUUAGGGCUGGAAAGAUGGCUCUGCUCAGCUAUCAAAGGCUAGGCUCUCAACCGAAAAGACAGAAUGGAAAAUAAAAAUGUAAAGGAAAGCUAAA